rnacentral:pre_miRNA from 13 species
AUGUAGGGCAAUCUGUCUUUAAGUAGGGGUAAAAUACACUAAAAGAAAUGAAUCCUAGAUAUUCUUUUCCUUCAAGUCAAAUGUCUUGU